AUACGGAGGGUGCAAGCGUUACUCGGAAUCACUGGGCGUAAAGCGCGCGCAGGCGGCCUAGCGCAUCUUUCGUAAAAUCCAUCGGCUCAACCGAUGGUCUGCGGAAGAGAUGGCUUGGCUAGAGGCCGGAAAAGGCAAGCGGAAUUGCUGGUGUAGGGGUUAAAUCCGUUAAUAUCAGCAGGAACACCAAAUGCGAAGGCAGCUUGCUUGGACGGUCCUGACGCUGAGGGACGAAAGCGUGGGUAGCGAAUGGGAUUAGAAACCCUAGUAGUCC
rnacentral:rRNA from 1 species